rnacentral:rRNA from 1 species
GGUAAAAGAUUAAUCGCCUAGAGAGGGGCUUGCGUCUGAUUAGCUAGUUGGUGAGGUAAGAGCCCACCAAGGCGACGAUCAGUAGCUGGUCUGAGAGGAUGAUCAGCCACACUGGGACUGAGACACGGCCCAGACUCCUACGGGAGGCAGCAGUGGGGAAUUUUCCGCAAUGGGCGAAAGCCUGACGGAGCAAGACCGCGUGGGGGAGGAAGGUUCUUGGAUUGUCAACCCCUUUUCUCAGGGAAGAACACAAUGACGGUACCUGAGGAAAAAGCAUCGGCUAACUCCGUGCCAGCAGCCGCGGUAAUACGGGGGAUGCAAGCGUUAUCCGGAAUGAUUGGGCGUAAAGAGUCCGUAGGUAGUCAUCCAAGUCUGCUGUUAAAGAGCGAGGCUUAACCUCGUAAAGGCAGUGGAAACUGGAAGACUAGAGUGUAGUAGGGGCAGAGGGAAUUCCUGGUGUAGCGGUGAAAUGCGUAGAGAUCAGGAAGAACACCGGUGG